rnacentral:rRNA from 1 species
UACGGAGGAUCCAAGCGUUAUCCGGAUUUAUUGGGUUUAAAGGGUGCGUAGGUGGCCUGUUAAGUCAGGGGUGAAAGACGGUAGCUCAACUAUCGCAGUGCCCUUGAUACUGAUGGGCUUGAAUGAACUAGAGGUAGGCGGAAUGUGACAAGUAGCGGUGAAAUGCAUAGAUAUGUCACAGAACACCAAUUGCGAAGGCAGCUUACUAUGGUUUUAUUGACACUGAGGCACGAAAUCGUGGGGAUCAAACAGG